rnacentral:tRNA from 1 species
AGAGUAUAGCUCAGUGGUAAAGUGCAUGCCUAGCAUGCAUGAAUUCUUUGGUUCAAUCCCCACUACCUCUA